CUAAAUUCCUCGCUGCGCCCCUCCCUCCCUGGCGCCUGGAGCCGCAUCCAGCCCGCGGUCCUGUCGCCAGACCUGGGUGGCGUGCGGUCCUCCCCAGCCCCCGGCUUAGGUUCCAGCGUCCCCAGUCCUACCUCCCCUCUUUUGUAUCCCCUUUAGUCCCCCUCCCCCCCAUUCAACCCAACUUCAGCCCGGGCGCUGCGCCCCCCUCCGGGGCCCGGCUCGAUUGGCCGCUGCCGGAGCUGUCAGACUUGAGUCCGGCGCUCUGAUUGGGCGAUUCUCGGGCCGGGCGGCCGUGCCAAAGGAGGGCGCACUGGGUGGGGGGCGCCGGGCAGCGACCGCCGCGGGGAAACGGAGACAGAGUCCCUGGAGGGGUCGGAGGGGCUUGUGAACCAGACCCGGAAAUGGACGGGGGAGUUGCAGAGACAGGACCUCUGAAGCGCAGGAAGACAGUGACGGAGAAGAUGGAGAUACAGUGGGUCCUUCACCAGUGCCAGGCUGCCUCCCCGACCUGGCAGGAUGUUAGCAGGAAGGAUGGGCACCUGAGCAAGGCGGCACACCCACCAGGGGGAAGGGAAGGAAAGGAGGAAGGUGACUAGACGCUCCUGCACAGCGCGGAGACAAGAAGCAGGAAUGCAGAGGACUUUACUUUGGUGCAAAGAGGACCUAGGCCUAUGGAAUGAGGUGCCUACUCAGUUGCCUUUUUGCCCCUAGUUUGUUCUGCCUGAGGUUCUGGCAAUCUAAACCAUGGGAGAGUUGGGGGACCACAUCUCUAGGCAGGGUAAAGGAAAACAGCUUUCGCUUUACCCUUCUUCAUCCUCCAGCCCUCUCCUCAGAGCUCUGAGGAGGAGCCUAGAGGUCUGAGUAAGCUUCCUUCUCUAUCUCUGCAGGUAGUCUCUGCAGAUUGGAAGAUAAACCAUGCCAGAGUCACAAAUUGGAAGGAGGAAAGUUCUAAGAGAUCUGAAUAAAAUAACCCCUGAGUAA